rnacentral:rRNA from 1 species
UAUGGCUUCGAUAGCAUGUUGAACCAGUUCCCGAUGGAUCACUGAAGUUAAACAACGUUGCGCGUGGUUGGUAUCCGGAUGGGUGACCGUGACCAUCUGGGGAAUCGCGUGCUUCUGGCU